rnacentral:rRNA from 1 species
GUGCCAGCCGCCGCGGUAAUACGUAGGUGGCAAGCGUUAUCCGGAAUUAUUGGGCGUAAAGCGCGCGCAGGUGGUUUCUUAAGUCUGAUGUGAAAGCCCACGGCUCAACCGUGGAGGGUCAUUGGAAACUGGGAGACUUGAGUGCAGAAGAGGAAAGUGGAAUUCCAUGUGUAGCGGUGAAAUGCGUAGAGAUAUGGAGGAACACCAGUGGCGAAGGCGACUUUCUGGUCUGUAACUGACACUGAGGCGCGAAAGCGUGGGGAGCAAACAGGAUUAGAUACCCUGGUAGUCCACGCCGUAAACGAUGAGUGCUAAGUGUUAGAGGGUUUCCGCCCUUUAGUGCUGAAGUUAACGCAUUAAGCACUCCGCCUGGGGAGUACGGCCGCAAGGCUGAAACUCAAAUAAAUUGACGG